rnacentral:rRNA from 1 species
AUUGAACGCUGGCGGCAGGCCUAACACAUGCAAGUCGAGCGGUUGAAGGGAGCUAGCUCCUGACUUCUGCGGAGGACGGGUGAGUAAUGCCUAGGAAUGUGCCUGGUAGUGGGGGAUAACGUCCGGAAACGGGCGCUAAUACCGCACACGUCCUGGGGGAGAACGUGGGGGAGCAUCGGCCCGCACGCUUUCAGCUGAGCAUAGGUCGGAUUAGGUAGUUGGUGGGGUAAAGGCCUACCAAGGCAACGAUCCGUAACUGGUCUGAGAGGAUGAUCAGCCACACUGGGACUGAGACACGGUCCAGACUCCUACGGGAGGCAGCAGUGGGGAAUAUUGGACAAUGGGCGAAAGCCUGAUCCAGCCAUGCCGCGUGUGUGAAGAAGGUCUUCGGAUUGUAAAGCACUUUAAGUUGGGAGGAAGGGCAGUAAGUUAAUACCUUGCUGUAUUGACGUUACCAACAGAAUAAGCACCGGCUAACUUCGUG